UCCGAAUUAUUUUGUUCUUCGUCAUCAAGGAAAUCACUAAAACAAUCACAUUGAUAAAAUAUAGAUUUUUUGUUAUCCUCUUUCAUUCGUGUCAUCUCCAUCUGAUUUCAUAUAGCAUAAGGAUAUGGCCCAAUAAUUAAACUGCAAUAGUAUUUUCGGGUAGAAAAAUUCACGCUGAUGUGAAGAAAUUUUUGCUAUCCAAGUUUCCUACAAUUUGGAGCAAUGGGCUUCUUAUACACGAAGAAAAAGAAGAGGUGAAGGAGAUCAUUCCACAGCUAAUGCAUUGGACAUCUAAAAAAAUUGAUUCUCUAUGCUCAUUGACCAAGUGAGUAUUUCAUCGAGUUCAAUUCUUCUCGGAUCAA